rnacentral:lncRNA from 1 species
CGGUGCUGAUGGCUCUUUCUGGCUCUUCUCCCCAACCCCUCUUUCUAAUAAAUCUUCUCACUUAAAAAAAAAAAAAAAAAAAAGACGGUGCUGAUGGAUGGGAAUGUGUAAAAUGACACUGGAGCUUUGAAGACUCUACCAACCAAAUCCGUGAAAUUUCAUUAUCAAAAUAAAGAUAAUAAGAGUAUAACUAAUUGGAGGCAAUGAGAUGGCUAGGUGGGGAAGGAUGCUUGCUACCCAGCCUGUCCACCCUACUCCAAUCUCCAGGGACUCACAAUUGUCCCCUGACCUUCACUUGUGUACAGGACACACUUAAUAAAUACAUGGUAAUUUUUUUUUAUUUUAAGAGUAUAAUUAGAUACUGAGCUGGUGACCAAUGAGGGAUUUUCCUACAGUAGCAAGCACACUUAUUAUAUAUAAAAAGUAAAUGAAGAGAAAAUUCGAUGUCUUAACUUUGAAUAUGUAACAAAUAUUACUCCAGUGCAGCAGUCCUCGACGCAGGUAAGUGGCUCAGCCAUGCAGCUGCUACAAAGCUGUGCAGAUGCGAUGUCACACAGAGUGGGCACAGCAGACAAACCUCAUUCUGGAAACAACGGGGCUAGCACAUCGUCUUGAAGUAUCCUGCACCGGAUGGCUUUCGGCUUCCAAUUGACAGCUUGAGAGCCCAAACGCCAUAUGACAGAUGAGAUUGCACGCUCUCCCCAGAGUUCUUCCAUUAUCAGACUCUAGCUCCACCUGUGGAGGACCUGAGGGAACUAUCAGUAUACACCACUGCUUUUGUUCCUGGGGAAAACUACAGUUCUUUUGGGGGUUCCUUAGUCUCAAUAAAAGAAUUUAGAAAUGGACUCAAACAUAAGGACAAUAGUAUUAGAGUUUAAGAGGAGAGCAGUACAGGUUAGUUGAAAACCUCAGAAGCUGCUAGGAAAUGGAGGAAAAAGUCAUGUCUUUUAAACUAGACAGGGAACAGAAUUAGUUUAUCAAGAAAGGGGAAAACUGGCCUGGCAAUGGUAGGUGAGCCUGGUCUACAAAGCUAAUUCUAGGACAGCUGUGCUACACAGAGAAACUCUGUCUCAAAAAUAAAAUAAAAUUUAAAAAAGGGAAAGAAAGAAAGGGGAAAACGGGGCUGAAGAGAUGGCUCAGCUGUCAACACUGCACCAGAGAACCCAGGUUUCAUAGUGACUUGCAACCUUCUCCAACUCCAGUUUCAGGGGAUCUGGCACCCUCUUCUGGUCUCUGUGGGUGUUGCAUGAACAUAGUGACUAGACAUUCUUCCAGGAAAAAUACCCAUACACAUAAUUUUUUUUUUUUAAAGAAAAAAACUGGGCUGGAGAGAUGGCUCAGCAGGUAAGAGCAUGGGCUACUCUUCCAAAGAUCCUGAGUUCAAUUCCCAGCAACCGCAUGGUGGCUUACAACCAUCUAUAAUGGGAUAUAAUCCCCUCUUCUGCCAUCAAGCAUAUAUGCAGAGCACUCAUGCCUAAAAAAAUACAUAAAUAAUAAAAUUUAAAAAAUAAUAAAAAGAAAGAAAGAAAAGCCACCCCCAAGAAUAGAAAUGGCCCAAUAAGCUGAGCAAAGAACCUAAAAAGUGUCUGGUGUGCGGGUGUAUGGUCUUUUACAGCCCACUCUUCCUGUUUGUCUUUCAGUGGCUUUAAGUGGCUUUGUUUUUCUCAUGCUCUGUUCAUGAUGCCAGAGUAAGGAAAGGCUUUGGGUCUUCCUCUACAAAUGGACUUCUUUCCCAUUUUAGUCUUGAUGUAGCUUUAGUUGUUGUCCUUUCUCUCCUGUCACAUUCUUGUGAGAACCCUUGACCCCAGUAUAUUUUUAACAUGCUGAGUCAGGACAAGAUCUGAGAGUGCCCAUUUGUCCCCUGGAUAGCUGUGCUGGACAGGGGCCCCUCGGCACAGUGGAGUGGCUUGCUGGAGGUACUUUGGUGCCUCAGAAUCCUUCCGGGGACUUCUGGCCAUCCUAAUCAUUGGAGUACUCCAGGCAGUGAGAGUACUGAAGCCCCUGGUUUCUUGGGGUCGUACUGUGAUACUUACACGCUGUUGGCUAGUCCAGCUGCUAGGACCUGGGUCCUGGUUUCCAUCUACUGAGUGAUAUACGCUUUAGUGCAUUAGUGUGGAAGUACUUGGCACGUUUGCUCCCAGUAUGAGGCCAGCAGUGGCCUGGCCCUCAGAUGUCGUGUCUCAGAGUGUAGCAAAGUGGUGACCCUUUACUCUAUUCUAGAAUCUGACUGAACUGUUCCAAAUCAGGGUUUUCUGACAUGAAGUAAUGACAUAAGCAGAAAUCUGCAGCUCAGGCUUCUGCACUUGCCUCAAGUUAGCACCCUGGACCAUUCUUGCAGCCACCAGCUCCAGCUUCACUUCUGUACGGUGAUUUUAUUUUCUCCUCCCACUGCCCAUUUGUCCUGGAGGUCUCCUUCCUUAUCAUCUCAGGUUCAUGGAGGGGUUGCAGUCUUCUCAGCUGCACGUGGAGUGCUCUUCCCAGCCACCAUCAGAGUACUACCACUUAGCGCUUACAUCUUAUCCACGAAACACCUUGUGUUUCAACAGUCAGGAGAGCGGGUCCCUUCCUGCAUUGUCUGACUCACUGGGGCUUUCCCCCUGUGCCUCCCUUGCAUGUUGUCAUUCAUCCAGAUUCUUAGCACAUGUGAACAAUGGAGGCCACUGUUUUGUAAAGAGACAAGUCUGUUGUGGCUGUGCUAUCACAAAGGACUGGCACAAUCCAUUGCUGGCAGCUAAGGCAGUUUGUUCUCUCUCUCUCUCUCUCUCUCUCUCUCUCUCUCUCUCUCUCUCUCUCUCUCCUCUUCUUCCUCUCCUCUCCUCUCCUCUCCUCUCUUCUCCUCUCCUCUCUCGCUCUCUCUCCUCUCAAAACUCAUGUUAUUCCAGGCAGUUAGUGGUACAUGCCUUUAAAUUCAGUACUGGGGAGGCAGAGGCAGGCAGAUCUCUGAGUUUCAGGCCAGCCAGAUAGGGUUCCAGGACAGCCAGAAGUAUACAGAGAAACCCUGUUGAAAAACAAAACAAAACAAAACAACAACAAAAUCUAUGUGUAUGGAUGUUUGCCUGCAUGUUUUUCUGUAUAUGGCUUACGUGCAGUGCCUAUGGGGGACCAGAAGAAGGCAUCAGAGUCCCUGGAACUGGAGUUACAGGGAGUUGUGAGCUGCUACAUUUAAGUGCUGAGAACUGAACUCAAGUCUUCAGGGAAAGCUGACAGUGCUCUUAAUCAAGCAGCUAUCCCUCCAGCCCCCUUUUCUUUUCUACUCCCUGAUGCUCCCCUGAUUCAGGAUAGUCCCUUCUCUCCCUUGUGCUGUGGUUGGCUCGUCUUCUAGUAGGACAGAGUAAAUCUAUUUUUGUUUCAGAGGUUCCAGUCUGUUAUGGCAGGGAGAGUGUGAUGGAACAGAAUGGCUUACCUUCCAGCAGCCAGGAACCAGCAAGAAAAUCCAUGAAUUUUUAAUGACACGGAGAGGCAAAUAAAGGAGCCAGGGAAAUGGCUCACCAAUAGUGACUUUAUUCUUCAGCAGCCGUGUAAAAAGCCAGAGAUAGUGGCUCUUGCUUGUUACACCAGCACUAAGGAAGCAGAGAAAGGCUGAUCUCUGGGGUUUGCUGGCUAGCUGGUGUCUGGUCUCACUGAGAAUAAGAGAUGGUGAGAUGGCCCAGCCAGCAAAAAUACUUGCUAAAUAAGCCUGAAGAACUGAGUUUAGUGCUUAAAACUCAUGGUGGAAGGAGAGAAGUGACUCCUAAAAAUCAUCCUAUGAUUGAUUCCCCUAGUUAAAAAUAAUCAGGGAGCUAGCUCCUAAAGGAGCCAGAGGUUGACCUCUGGCUACAUGAACACACGUGCUAGUGCACAUGAAACCACACCCACAUGAACACACACUCAUAUAUAUGUAAAUACACACACAAACACAGAGAAGUGAGUAAAAAUUGCCUGUGGUGACUAUAAUCCUAGGACUUGGGAGGCUGAGGCAAUAGAGGUGUGAGUCCAAGGCCAGCUGGGCUACAGCAUGAGAUACUGCCUCAAAACAUACACACAGAAGCUGGAGAGAUGGCUCAGUGGUUAAGAGCAAUGGCUGCUCUUCCAGAGGACCUGGGUUCAAAUCCUAGCACCCACGAAUGGCAGCUCACAGCUGUGUGUAACUCCAGUUCCAGGAGAUCUGAUGCCCUCUCUGGCCUCCAUGGGCACCAAGCAUGCAUAUGGUACACAGACAUAACGUGCCGGCAAAAUACUCACAUACACGAAAAUAACUAAAACACUUGUGGGAAAGAAAGAAAACAGUAAAUGGGGACAAGGCAAACUUCCAACCUUGCCUUUGAGUAAAAUGCCAAGUAGUAAACAUGGCAGAAACUAAACAGGAUGUUUACACAGACAUGUCUUUCACCAAUUAGUCAUCAUAAUGCAAAACCAGUAUGCUAUAAAGUCUUGGCUGAGCAGAACAAAUUAAAUCAAAGUGAUCAAUGUCAACAUCUUUUUCCAUAGGUCAAGCAGAGAUCAAAUGCCUCCCAAUAAGAUACACUGAGGACAGCAGGCAUCACUUCUUUGUGGCUGGGGUGUUAUGAAGUGACAGAGAGCUCUUGUGUAGCAUUCUUGAGGUCCUGGGUCUCAUCCUCAGGACCUAAAAAAAGGUACAUGGCCAAAUCUCAGGAGAAAACACUGGAUCAACUACAGAGAGUCCUGAAAAACUGAGGACUAAAGAAGACUAAAGGAGCAUGACAGCAAAAUGUGCAUGGUUCUAAAUUGUAUCCCGGACUGAGGAUUGCAGUAGAGUAGCUUUAAAGAACAGUAUCUGGACAGUUGGCAGCAUUUACAUAUGGAUGGUAGGUUAACUAUUAGUACAUAUUGUUUCAAGUGGAAUACAUAAGGAGUGUAGCUUUAUUUGGCACCCAAGUAGUUUUCCCAAUAGUAUCUUCAGUUCAUUCAGCAAGUGCUUAUUAAAGGGAUUGUUAGUGAGUGGGCCUGAGUAGAGAGUGAGCGUGAUGAAAGAAAUAGAAUCAUAGAUGAAAUACCUACAAUGCAAAAAUGAAAUGACAUGGACUUGAAAACAGGCUCAAAUAAAGGAAAAUUUAACCUGGAAUUCCUAGGCACUCACAGAUAGGCUUUCAUAUUCUGUUGAACAUGACAAUUUCACAGAAUAUUUACAUCCCUUUAUGUAGCCUGUUUGGGGGGGGAGGGACCACCAACAAUAAGGGUCACAGAAUUAGGAAGGUUGAGAACCACUGUCCUAAUCUAUUGACGUUUAUAGUUCUGAGAAAGUCCUUAAAUGUGGAUACCUCGAAACAGGAAUACAUGCCUGGCACUGUGGAACUGGUUAAAAGCUUUUGGUUAGGAAAGUCCAAGGUCCUCUGGGAGCAUCUACUAUUAAUGUUUUGCUAAAUGAAUGUGUAGUUAAAUUGUUCUCCCCCCCUCUCUCCUGUCUGCCUGUCUGUCUCUCUCUUUCCAUGUGUGUGUCUGUGUGCGUAUUCAUGCCCAUAUAUGAGUAUUAUAACAGGGCCUCAGACCUUAGUAGGCCCUAGUACAACUAACUUUAUGUCCGGCUGUAAAACUCAGCUUGUAGACAUCACCACCUGACAAAAAUGAAAACAAAGACCUAAUCCAUCAAAGUCCAUAGUUCUGGGAAAGUCUUUAAAUGUACUAACCUUGCUAUUUGGCUCUGGUAAUUCUGCUUCUGGCUAACUGUUCUUGUUAACUGAAGUAUGUUAACCCAGGGCUUGGUUUUGUGCAUAAAAGAUCACCUUGAGAAAGGCUUGGGACUACCCUGGGAUCCUGAACACCUAUUGGCUUAAACCCAUGUCUGAGCAGUCUUCUCUGUGAGCACCCCAUAACACUUCUGGAGGUCCUACCAAGAUUCCCAGAGACCAGACUGAAAUGCUGGGGGUUUCAUGAGGGCCUCUUGGAGUGAGGAAGAGUGUAGUGUCCAGGGGACUCUAAGGGAGCAAACAACCUGCGAUGUUCCAGGCCCCCAAGGCUCCCUCUGCUCAGUUGCUGCCUAGUGCUUCAGAGGGGUGCUUCCUCCACCCCAAAGGAAACUAAUUAGAAAGUCACCUGGUCUCUCACCUCUGGAGGUAAGUCUGGCUAAAGAGCCUUCUGUUUGAACACACAGGAGAGGUCGGCGAGGAAUCAGAUCCAGUGUCCAGUGUCUCGGAUGUGGCUUAUGUGUGGGUUUACAAGGGCCUUUUUAGAGGUUUAGUCAAUUAUCUUCAUGGCAGGAAACAUGGUGGCAUGCAGGCAGACAUGAUGCUGGAGAAGGAGCUGAGAGUUCUACAUUUUGAUCCACAGGCAGCAGAAGGAGUCUGAGUCCCACUGGCCAGACCUGAGUUUGUUAGACCCCCGAAAACUCAAGUAUCCGGGGUCUCAGGCCAGGUUCGCGGUCACCCCAAUCACCAGGCGGAUUCGAGAGCUUGCUGCAAACUGCACGAGGCUUUAUUGUAAUUUAACGAACUAACCCCAUGUUAGCUCGGGUCUUUCACCCACCCGCCAUGGCGGACGGCUAGAAAAGAUGGCUCCU